UCGGGAAUUUUGGGCAAUGGGCGAAAGCCUGACCCAGCAACGCCGCGUGAAGGAUGAAGUAUUUCGGUAUGUAAACUUCGAAAGAAUAGGAAGAAUAAAUGACGGUACUAUUUAUAAGGUCCGGCUAACUACGUGCCAGCAGCCGCGGUAAUACGUAGGGACCAAGCGUUGUUCGGAUUUACUGGGCGUAAAGGGCGCGUAGGCGGCAUGACAAGUCACUUGUGAAAUCUCUGGGCUUAACCCAGAACGGCCAAGUGAUACUGUCGCGCUAGAGUGCAGAAGGGGCAAUCGGAAUUCUUGGUGUAGCGGUGAAAUGCGUAGAUAUCAAGAGGAACACCUGGGGGUGAAGACGGGUUGCUGGGCUGACACUGACGCUGAGGCGCGAAAGCCAGGGGAGCAAACGGGAUUAGAUACCCCCGUAGUCCCUGAGCGGGCUGGCAAGGCGCAU
rnacentral:rRNA from 1 species